ACUAAACCCUAAACUCUAAUCAGUGAACCCUAAACCCAAAUCUAAACCAUAAACCCAAAUAUAAAUCAUAACUCCAAAUAUAAGCACAAAAUCCAAAUAGAAUUGAACAAAAUAAAUAACAUAGUACAUAUUUGUGAAAUUAAAAAAUAUCUAUAAUUGAAUGGAAGAAGUUAUUGUUGACCUCGACCAUACUCCUUCACCUUCUAAAUAUUAAACCCUAAACUCUAAUCACUAAACUCUUACCCAAAUAUAAACCCUAAACCCAAAUAUAAACUAUAAACUCAAUUAGAAUGGAACAAGAUAAAUAACAUAAUACACAUUGGUGAAAUUAUGAAAUGACUAUGAUUGAAAGGAAGAAGUUAAUGAUAACGCUAACCAUACCCCUCACCUUUUAAAUACUAAACUCUUAACUCUAAUUACUAAACCCAAAU
rnacentral:lncRNA from 1 species